GUUGGCCUCUUUCUUUGGCAUCUCAGCACUCUCAGCCUUUGGGGGUAGGUUGCAUAGACCUGGUCACUAUACAACACAUAUUUCCUAGGACUUGUCACAAGUUCCCUCAAGAUCUAGCACUAGUGCCUAUGUUUUGGCUAACUCAAUGAAUAUGUUGUUAAUAGGCUUGUCUGUCUUGUUUCAUUUUGCCACUGUUCCCUGGGAUCACUUCCCAAAUUUACAUAUGUAAGCUUUUGGCUCAGGCUCUGCUUAUAGGAGAACCAAGGAUAAAUCAAAGCAGUGAAGUAACACUGGCAGACAAAAAGAUGACUUCUAAGAUAAUUCUUUUGUUACUAUAUAUUUUAUGAAUGUCUAUAUUAAAAAAUCUUUUUUUUGGCUGAAAACAUUCCUGCUUAGAUUAGACCAAUUCUGUCAACUAUAAAACUG
rnacentral:lncRNA from 10 species